rfam:Ceratocystis platani strain CFO contig_01007, whole genome shotgun sequence.
GUGGGCUUGGUCUAGUUGGUUAUGACGGCUGCUUCACACGCAGCAGGUCCCGAGUUCGAUUCUCGGAGCCCAUA